GCACCAAACUUUAACUGCUAGGCCAUCAGGGCUGGCCCAGAAUGGUAUUUUUUAGAGUCUUGCUUCUUUUUGCAUUUGCCACCCAUUAUCAAUCCUGAUAGUGUCACUCACAAGCAGCAAUGUCAUUCAAUCCUGCUGUUGUCACCCAGUCCAGAAGGGAAACAGAGAAGUAAGACUAAAGAGCAAAGGGGUCUAAACUGCUCUUUACUCUUACAUUUGCCUUGCUUACAUCUUUAAGUCAUGUGGAAUGUCACAGAAUUUUAAAUCACCGUCUUUACUUAUAAUUCAACCUAAUGAAUAUGGUUUUACUCAGAAAAAACAAAGAGCAAAUCUAAAACUUUUGAAUAAUAAUAUUUAAGAUUUUAUCUUCCAGGUCAAUACUGAAUUUCAUUGACAUUUGGUGGAAUAAUAUCUAGCAUGUUUCUAUCCAAACCUUUUAACCAUCUCACUCGAUAUGGUAUGAAGCAUGAAGAACUAUUUUUUGUUUGUUUGUUUACUAGUGAAGGAAUAAUACAAAUGCUUGCUUAGCAACUUCAGAUCUGGAGACAACAAUUGUGUCAUUCUCAUGUGAAGAACAACACAAGUGCGUGCGAAUUCCCAGUGCAUUCACGCCGACAAAUGUGUCAGGCACUGGCCCAAACACAUGGGAUAGAGCAGUAAGGAAGGCAGACGAGGUCCCUGUUUUCCUGGAGGAGAUAGACAAUAAACAAACAAAUUUUCAACAUAAUAUUAUGCAGGGAUCCUAAUUAUGAAGGAAAUUAAGGAAGAUAAGGGCUAGAGAGUGACGGGGGCUCUUAGGUGAGGUGGCCAGUGAAGGUGACCCUCAGGACGUGACAGCUGAGCCGGGAGCUGCAGCAGUAGAGGUGGCUUCAAGUUCAUCUGAUAAACAUGUAAUUUAGGUGUCAGGCUAUGAAUUUAAUAUCCCUUAAAGGCAGAAUUUUUUAUUAUCCCCAACCCCAUCCAAGAGACAUAGUUAACUCCGCUUUACAAAAAGUAGCAUAUUUCUAUGUGCAGUUAUGUCCACAGAGAAACUGUUCGAUUUUUUGUUGUAUGUGUGUGACUGUGUGUGUCUGGUCUCAUUCGUUUCAUUUCACUUUAGUUCUACAGAUCCUGAUUGAGUAGUGAUUGCUGUGUUCCAGGCUUUAGUCUAGGCUGUUGCCAUACAUCAGUGCAUGGAACAGAUAAAGAUCCCUACAUUCUAGCAGGAAAAGACAAGCAGUAAGAAACAAAGAAAUGACUUACCCGGGAUCACACCUGAGAAAUCACCAGGGUCAUUUCACGCCCGAUUCCGUGUGACUCCAGUUCUGUGUGACACCCUUUGAAGUGGUUGGGAUCCAGACAUGAGGUCACAAUCAACUAAUUCACCUUUCAAAUGUUUUUUGAACCUCGACUGAAUGCUGGCACUGUGCUGGUUCUUACCGUCAGGAGCUUAGAUUCCAGUCGGAGGGACAGAGCAAAGAAGUGAACAAAGUCAAUAUGUGCUAUAAAGUAAAUAUGCGUUUUUUAAUAAAGAAUGGUUAUGACGUA